AGAAUUAGUUGCAUGUGGAUUUUAGUUUAUGUGGUUUCGAGUUUAGUAGUAUCAGUUGUUUAAAUUCCUGUGAAUUUUUAGUUUUUCUCUUGGGUUUAGGCAAUUAAACAAGGAGAAUGUUUUAAAAUUGCUGUGCUUAUUGACGGUCCGGUGCUGAUUAGAUGUCUCCCCCAUCAGCACCUAACUUUUUCAUAAGCUAGAGUUUAUGUAGCCUCCUUGUCUUUUGAACUUCCCAUGGAUUUGAUAGGGAAGAAACACAACAUUCCGUCUAGCUUAUAAUACCCUUGAAGUGAAGCUUUUAUAAUUGACCGGAACAUCCUCUCUGGCUCAUGCCCGAGGAGAACUAGGUGGAAUUGAAUGAAUUGUUGGGUGUAAAGUAAGGUGUUUCACGUAAGGUCUGUUAAUAUCGCCCGAUUGUAUGAUUUAGGGUUUGAUUAUAUAGUCUAUUAUUUCUUGAUUGUAUGAUUUAGGGUUUGAUUGAUUGAUAUGAGCAGAUGAUGAAACAAAUAUUUUAAGACUGAUUAGUAUGAAGUUAUUAAAUAUUCGAGCUUUUUAAAACUGAUGCUCAUUAUUUUCAAUUCUAAUUGCAAUUAUUUCUUUUUACAAAUUGAUGAGAAAGAUUUAUCAAGAAUGUUCAUAGCUAUGAUAAGUUGAUGAAAACGGGUUAUGGAGAAUGUUUAUAGUUAUGCUAGGCUUAGUCAAGUGUUAAAACUUAAUACAGUGUUUGACGCGGUUACAAGCCUAGUAUAUCAAUGUGUACUCUCGUUGGAGGGUGAAGUUCAUAUCUACUGCUAUCACUUGUACGUAUGUACUCUACACUUUUUCAUAUCUCUGCCUAUUACAAAGCUUAUCCUUGGACCUUGGAUUGUAUCCAGCUAGUUUACAUAUUUCAGUCACUGUCUUAGUGGUUGCAUAUGUUGCUAAGCUAGCUAAAGUUGUUGCUAGACUGUUAUGGCUUUUGUGAAUCUAAUUUCAAAAAGAGUUCUUCGUUGCCUAGGCUAUUGUGAUUGAUUAAGUAUAGUCUGAUAAUAAAAAAUUCCUUAAUUUCGACAAGAAAAGGUAAGUAUAGGAGAGUCGGGUCUCAGUGCCAAGCAUGUUUUGUAGCGUUUGUACGAUGUUUUAAGCACAAUCUUAUAGUGGAUUUUUUUGUAUAGAUGAAUGUGCUUGAAAUUGCUGUGCUUAUUGACUGUCCGGUGCUUAUUAGAUUUUUCCCCAUCAGCACCUAACUUUUUCAUAAGCUAGAGUUUAUGUAGCCACCUUGUCUUUCAAACUUCCUUGGACUUGAUAGGGAAGAAACACAACUUGGCUUACAUUCCGUCCAAUACGAGCCUAUAGUACCCUUGCAGUAAAGUAUUCUAUCUUGAGGAGAAUUAGGGCAGGAAUUAAAUGUGCCGUUGGGUGUCGGGAAGGUCUAUCAUGUCAAGUAAAGUGAAGGUGUUUCAGUGGCUUAGAACACAAAACCAUGAGAAUCAGUGGCGGGUGGAGCCAGCCUACAUCACGGGGUUAAUCUCCUCUGAAGGCUGCUGCCUCUCGAGGUCUAUUGAAUCCUUCUAAGGCUUGAUUUUUUGGGUCAAUAUAUGCACCCUAAUUCAAGGGAAUAUAUAUGAACAAAGAAGGGAACUAGCUUUAAAAGGUCAAAAUAGGCUUUGUGGGCCAGUGCCAUAGGAAUUAGUUGCUUUGACGCCUAUGCUGCCACUGGUUCAAUUGGUUUUGAGUUUAGUAGUAAAAACAGUUUAAAUCUUAUGAUUUUUCUCUUGGGUUUAGGCAAUUAUUUCUUAUGAGUCGGUCUAAAGUUCUACAGUUAUAUUCAUCAAAUUUUUAUUUUCUCUUUGUAAGAUACUAACCAGGAUCCUAUCAAACCCGAAAAACUAUACAUGAGGCUGUGCUGCCUUCAAGUUCUCACGAAUCAUAUAAGCAAUGCUGCAAUGACCUGUGGAAUCCCUCAAGUUAUCAUAAAUAGUCUGAGCAGUAACCGUGCAGUCCAUCAAGUAAGUGCUUCAAUUGUUAUAAACAAGCUUUUCUGUCUUGUUCGAGUCUUUUGGUUGAGUGGUCUUGAAUUGGUCAAACCUAAGUAUGUUGGAUGCUAAAGAUCUUUAUAUUGCCUCUGAUGAUCACCAAAUCCAUUUUGUCCAUCCCAGGUUUGUUAUCUAUGCGGAAAAUCGAGAUCUGAACUGAAGAGGCACUUUUCAAAAAUCUGUUAGUAUGUCUCACUAGUCUAUGAUAUUUUUCGUUUUAUCUCUCUAGGUCUCUGAGGAUGGUCAAAGCAAACGUUCUUUCUUCCGAGGUUAAUGCGGAAAAUACUGGAGACUGAAACCGGCCCAUGAAAUUUGAUCUUAGCAUUGAUCGUGAUAGAAAUUUUACCAUUACAAGUACAGAUAAAGAAGAUUUUGGCUGGAAGUUUGCUCAGGGAAAAGGUUAUGAACUGGGGCUUGUCAACUGGCAUCUUUGAAUUCCGUAACUUUCCCUUCAUUUUCUGUAGCUUCAGUUACAUUAUUGGUCACAAGCUAGAUGACUGUGUUGCUUUUGAACAUGCUCAACACCAAGCCAAGAUUAUGCAAAACGAAGCAGAUGCCCCAUUUCCUCCGCAUCUGGAUCAUCCAGCACCACCAGUACCUGCAGUGCUCAACCUGGCAUGUAUUUCUGACACCCGGCAGGCAGAGGUAACCCAUUGUGAUUACAAUGGUGACAAGGAUCAUUAGUUUCUAAUCCAAAUAAAUAAACCUAUUCUACCAUCAGAACAUGCUGUGCUAAAUCACUCUGCCUGACCUUUUGUACCUAACACUACUACUAAGAUUUUACCUAAUGUAAAUACACAACUGUCACCUAGCCAGCUUCAACAAAACCACCAUGCCAUCUUCAGCCAUGUCCCUAUGAAACCUUGUCCUGGUCAUCUUCUGAGAUCUGAGAUAUUUAAUGAGCCUUUGGGAGAGUCCUUCUUCAUCUCAAGCUUUUUCUGCUCCUUGGUCUCCAUAUCUUAGCAACUGGGCAGCUAUGAAGCAUUAUUUCCAACGGGAUGAUCCUAUGCCGAUUCCCUAAAGAGCAGCAUUGCCAAACAAUCCAUACGAUAUGUCAUCUGUAGUACUUCAAGAGUUUGGAGCUGUCCACAUUGUAGAACCAGAAGUGAACUCGCAAGUAUACCCUUAUAAUGGUGCUCUGGCCAAGGAUCCUCCUCGUCUGCUUCUGAGCCAAAUGCAGCAGCUAACCAAAAUGGACUCCAGGGUCCUAGAAGGAACCAGGUUACAGUUUGAUUUAAAAUCAGCAGCAGUAUUAUGAAAAUAGUGUAACUCGCGCUGUCAGGGCCCUUAAGCUCUCUAUUUUUGAUUUUGUUCUUUAAUUUUAUUAAUCUUUUUGGUUCUUUUUUUUUUUUACUAGUUUGUAUUCUGCCUUCCAAGGUCUUUUUUUGAUUAGGAAUCUUUGACUUCCAAUCCUUGCAGAGCAAUCCUUUCUUUCCCUUAAUUAUUUUGUUUCUGCAGUUACUUGCUGAUUCUCUUCUGUAAGCUUCUUUCCUGAA